CCUACGGGAGGCUGCAGUGGGGAAUAUUGGGCAAUGGAGGCAACUCUGACCCAGCAACGCCGCGUGAAUGAUGAAGGUCUUCGGAUUGUAAAGUUCUUUUAUAAGGGAUGAACACAGUGACGGUACCUUAAGAAUAAGCCACGGCUAACUACGUGCCAGCAGCCGCGGUAAUACGUAGGAGGCGAGCGUUAUCCGGAAUGACUGGGCGUAAAGGGUGCGUAGGUGGUUUAGCAAGUUAGUAGCGUAAUUCCGAGGCUCAACCUUGGAACUACUACUAAAACUGUUAGACUAGAGUGCAGGAGGGGCAAGCGGAAUUCCUAGUGUAGCGGUGGAAUGCGUAGAUAUUAGGAGGAACACCAGGGGCGAAGGCGAGUUACUAGACUGUAACUGACACUGAGGCACGAAAGCGUGGGGAGCAAACAGGAUUAGAUACCCGAGUAGUC
rnacentral:rRNA from 1 species